GAUGAACGCUCGCGAUAGGCUUAACACAUGCAAGUCGAGGGGCAGCAUGGUCUUAGCUUGCUCAGACUGAUGGCGACCGGCGCACGGGUGCGUAACGCGUAGGCAACUUGCCUCACAGAGGGGGAUAACCCGUCGAAAGACGGACUAAUACCGCGUACACUUGGGAUAGGACGUCCUGACCCAAGGAAAUGAACUUCGCUGUGAGAUAGGCAUGCGUCCCAUUAGCUAGUUGGUGAGGUAACGGCUCACCAAGGCGACGCUGGGUAGGGGAACUGAGAGGUUGCACCACCACACUGGAACUGCGGCACGGACCAGACUGCUACGGGAGGCAGCAGUGAGGAAUAUUGGUCAAGGGGCGAGAGCCUGAACCAGCCAAGUCGCGUGAAGGAUGACUGUCUUAUGGAUUGUAAACUUCUUUUAUACGGGAAUAACAAGAGCCACGUGUGGCUCCCUGCAUGUACCGAAUGAAUAAGCAUCGGCUAACUCCGUG
rnacentral:rRNA from 1 species